rnacentral:rRNA from 1 species
UACAUGGGGUGCAAACGUUGCUCGGAAUUAUUGGGCGUAAAGCGCGCGUAGGCGGUUACUUAAGUCGGAUGUGAAAGCCCUCGGCUUAACUGAGGAAGGGCGCCCGAAACUGCAGAGCUUGAGUGCCGGAGAGGGUGGCGGAAUUCCCCAAGUAGAGGUGAAAUUCGUAGAUAUGGGGAGGAACACCAGUGGCGAAGGCGGCUACCUGGACCGGUUCUGACGCUGAUGCGCGAAAGCGUGGGUAGCAAACAGG